AAAGCUGACUCCAAGACCAAGUA
rnacentral:siRNA from 1 species